rnacentral:rRNA from 1 species
AGAGUUUGAUCAUGGCUCAGAUUGAACGCUGGCGGAAUGCUUUACACAUGCAAGUCGAACGGCAGCACGGGGGCAACCCUGGUGGCGAGUGGCGAACGGGUGAGUAAUACAUCGGAACGUGCCCAGUCGUGGGGGGAUAACGUAGCGAAAGCUACGCUAAUACCGCAUACGAACUGAGGUUGAAAGCGGGGGAUCGCAAGACCUCGCGCGAUUGGAGCGGCCGAUGGCAGAUUAGGUAGUUGGUGGGGUAAAGGCCUACCAAGCCGACGAUCUGUAGCUGGUCUGAGAGGACGACCAGCCACACUGGGACUGAGACACGGCCCAGACUCCUACGGGAGGCAGCAGUGGGGAAUUUUGGACAAUGGGCGCAAGCCUGAUCCAGCCAUUCCGCGUGCAGGAUGAAGGCCCUCGGGUUGUAAACUGCUUUUGGACGGAACGAAAAGGCCUUUUCUAAUACAGGGGGCUCAUGACGGUACCGUCAGAAUAAGCACCGGCUAACUACGUGCCAGCAGCCGCGGUAAUACGUAGGGUGCAAGCGUUAAUCGGAAUUACUGGGCGUAAAGCGUGCGCAGGCGGUUGUGCAAGACCGAUGUGAAAUCCCCGGGCUUAACCUGGGAAUGGCAUUGGUGACUGCACGGCUAGAGUGUGUCAGAGGGGGGUAGAAUUCCACGUGUAGCAGUGAAAUGCGUAGAGAUGUGGAGGAAUACCGAUGGCGAAGGCAGCCCCCUGGGAUAACACUGACGCUCAUGCACGAAAGCGUGGGGAGCAAACAGGAUUAGAUACCCUAGUAGUCC